GUGAGGUGAUGAUGAGGUUUAUCCAUUCUCUGAGUGCAGUGGUGCUGCCCUCCUGCAGCACCCAGAUUCCUGUUCUAGGCUCUGAGUGUUGUGCAGCCUCCAGAGACCCUCCAGCCUCGCAGUGUCUUACUGGGAGCUGCUGUGGUGUGUGGCAGGCUGCCUGCAGGAGGGCAGUGGAGCUGGCAGGGUUGGAGCCUCUUUUUGUGGGGCUCCAUCCCCACUGAGACGAGGGACAAUGUCUGAUCAC
rfam:Colius striatus contig94654, whole genome shotgun sequence.